rnacentral:lncRNA from 1 species
ACAAUCUAAAGAAGCUUGACCAAUUCAAAACCCCAGAAAGGCCAAGCCUUUGGAAUUAAAAAAAGCUUGAUUUUUGAUGAGACCCAGAGACUUUAAUUUUCACAAAAAGGAAACAGAGAGAAACCCUAGAGAAGAGGAGUGUAACAAGCCAUCAGUUCUAGAUUCAUCUAAAAAGCUAGGAACUUUCUUGCUCUUUAACCUCUUCAGUGGCUUUGUUACAAGCAAACACACAACCUAAGCCUCAAAAAUAUAACCAAAAUAAAAAAAAAAGGUUACUUUUUUCAGAAUAUUUUUUAUUAAAUUUUGUGGUGAUGAUGAUGCUUUGAGAUAAUGGAACUGAUAAGAGAAGCAGUUAUUAAGUGAGUGGGUGAUGAAAGAGAUCAUACAGUCGCGAGGAAGAAGAAGACGAAGAUGGGAGGGAGAGAAUACGGCCAGAGUUUUGC